AUCCUGGCUCAGGAUGAACGCUAGCUACAGGCUUUAACACAUGCAAGUCGAGGGGCAGCACGAAGAUAGCUUGCUAUCUUGGGUGGCGACCGGCGCACGGGUGAGUAACGCGUAUCCAACCUGCCCAUUACUCUGGGAUAGCCUUGCGAAAGUAAGAUUAAUACCGGAUCGUUAUUUGAUUGCCGCAUGACGGUCAAACCAAAGAUUUAUUGGUAAUGGAUGGGGAUGCGUGACAUUAGGUAGUUGGUGAGGUAACGGCUCACCAAGCCUACGAUGUCUAGGGGUUCUGAGAGGAAGGUCCCCCACACUGGAACUGAGACACGGUCCAGACUCCUACGGGAGGCAGCAGUGAGGAAUAUUGGUCAAUGGACGAGAGUCUGAACCAGCCAAGUAGCGUGCAGGAUGACGGCCCUCUGGGUUGUAAACUGCUUUUAGUUGGGAAUAAAAGAGGGACGUGUCCCUAAUUGUAUGUACCAUCAGAAAAAGGACCGGCUAAUUCCGUG
rnacentral:rRNA from 1 species